rnacentral:misc_RNA from 1 species
UUUUUUUUUUUUUAAAUCACUCCAGAUGUCCCAUUGAAAUUCUUUGAGCUUGAUAUCUGGCUUAUUUUAAGCAAAUUCUCUUUAUGCCUCCAAAAAGAAUGAUUUUCAUUAAUAAUAAGGGUAUUAAAAAAAAAUUAUGAAACUUUAAUUUCUCAAUGAAAUUAUAUCCUAAUCUGAAUGGAAGAAGCCACACUUUAUUUAAACUUUUAUAAAAUAU